AGACCCGAAACCCGGUGAUCUAGCCAUGGGCAGGUUGAAGGUUGGGUAACACUAACUGGAGGACCGAACCGACUAAUGUUGAAAAAUUAGCGGAUGACCUGUGGCUGGGGGUGAAAGGCCAAUCAAACCGGGAGAUAGCUGGUUCUCCCCGAAAGCUAUUUAGGUAGCGCCUCGUGAAUUCAUCUCCGGGGGUAGAGCACUGUUUCGGCUAGGGGGCCAUCCCGGCUUACCAACCCGAUGCAAACUGCGAAUACCGGAGAAUGUUAUCACGGGAGACACACGGCGGGUGCUAACGUCCGUCGUGAAGAGGGAAACAACCCAGACCGCCAGCUAAGGUCCCAAAGUCAUGGUUAAGUGGGAAACGAUGUGGGAAGGCCCAGACAGCCAGGAUGUUGGCUUAGAAGCAGCCAUCAUUUAAAGAAAGCGUAAUAGCUCACUGGUCGAGUCGGCCUGCGCGGAAGAUGUAACGGGGCUAAACCAUGCACCGAAGCUGCGGCAGCGACGCUGAUGCGUUGUUGGGUAGGGGAGCGUUCUGUAAGCCUGUGAAGGUGGCCUGUGAGGGUUGCUGGAGGUAUCAGAAGUGCGAAUGCUGACAUAAGUAACGAUAAAGCGGGUGAAAAGCCCGCUCGCCGGAAGACCAAGGGUUCCUGUCCAACGUUAAUCGGGGCAGGGUGAGUCGACCCCUAAGGCGAGGCCGAAAGGCGUAGUCGAUGGGAAACGGGUUAAUAUUCCCGUACUUGGUGUUACUGCGAAGGGGGGACGGAGAAGGCUAUGUUGGCCGGGCGACGGUUGUCCCGGUUUAAGCGUGUAGGUGUGUGUUCCAGGUAAAUCCGGUUCACUUUAACACUGAGGCGUGACGACGAGGCACUACGGUGCUGAAGCAACAAAUGCCCUGCUUCCAGGAAAAGCCUCUAAGCAUCAGGUAACAUCAAAUCGUACCCCAAACCGACACAGGUGGUCAGGUAGAGAAUACCAAGGCGCUUGAGAGAACUCGGGUGAAGGAACUAGGCAAAAUGGUGCCGUAACUUCGGGAGAAGGCACGCUGACACGUAGGUGAAGUGAUUUACUCAUGGAGCUGAAGUCAGUCGAAGAUACCAGCUGGCUGCAACUGUUUAUUAAAAACACAGCACUGUGCAAACACGAAAGUGGACGUAUACGGUGUGACGCCUGCCCGGUGCCGGAAGGUUAAUUGAUGGGGUCAGCGCAAGCGAAGCUCCUGAUCGAAGCCCCGGUAAACGGCGGCCGUAACUAUAACGGUCCUAAGGUAGCGAAAUUCCUUGUCGGGUAAGUUCCGACCUGCACGAAUGGCGUAAUGAUGGCCAGGCUGUCUCCACCCGAGACUCAGUGAAAUUGAACUCGCUGUGAAGAUGCAGUGUACCCGCGGCAAGACGGAAAGACCCCGUGAACCUUUACUAUAGCUUGACACUGAACAUUGAGCCUUGAUGUGUAG
rnacentral:rRNA from 1 species